rnacentral:lncRNA from 8 species
AUGCCUGUGGUGUGGCUGUGGUUGUUGUGGCUAGCUCUGGUCCAUAGCCCCACAGUCUCUGUGGUGUGGUUGUUGUGGCUAGCUCUGGUCCAUAGCCCCAGAGUCUCUGGGGUGUGGCUGUGGUCGUUGUGGCUAGCUCUGGUCCAUAGCCCCACAGUCUCUGGGGUGUGGCUGUGGUCGUUGUGGCUAGUUCUGGUCCAUAGCCCCACAGUCUCUGGGGUGUGGCUGUGGUUGUUGUGGCUAGUUCUGGUCCAUAGCCCCACAGUCUCUGUGGUGUGGUUGUUGUGGCUAGCUCUGGUCCAUAGCCCCACAGUCUCUGUGGUGUGGUUGUUGUGGCUAGCUCUGGUCCAUAGCCCCACAGUCUCUGGGGUGUGGCUGUGGUUGUUGUGGCUAGCUCUGGUCCAUAGCCCCACAGUCUCUGUGGUGUGGUUGUUGUGGCUAGCUCUGGUCCAUAGCCCCACAGUCUCUGUGGUGUGGUUGUUGUGGCUAGCUCUGGUCCAUAGCCCCACAGUCUCUGUGGUGUGGUUGUUGUGGCUAGCUCUGGUCCAUAGCCCCACAGUCUCUGGGGUGUGGCUGUGGUUGUUGUGGCUAGCUCUGGUCCAUAGCCCCACAGUCUCUGUGGUGUGGUUGUUGUGGCUAGCUCUGGUCCAUAGCCCCCCAGUCUCUGUGGUGUGGUUGUUGUGGCUAGCUCUGGUCCAUAGCCCCACAGUCUCUGUGGUGUGGUUGUUGUGGCUAGCUCUGGUCCAGGGCUCCAUAGUAUCAAUUAGAGCUCAAUAUCCUACUCUAGCUACUGGAUGGAGCACGAAGGAGGAAGUGGAGGAAUAUUUUGCGUCCUGCUUUAUGCUCUUCUUCUGUAAAUUACUGCUCACAAUUUGUAAUAUAUUCUCUCAUUCAGCAUGUAUUAGUGCCAUUGCAAAACAUUGUUCAACAAGAAUUUCUUAUUGGACAAGUUCAGGUAGUCGCUCCCCGUUUAGGUUCAUUUUCUUUCGUUUGGUGUCUAGUGGAUAA